AGUGAACGCUGGCGGUAGGCCUAACACAUGCAAGUCGAACGGCAGCACAGUAAGAGCUUGCUCUUACGGGUGGCGAGUGGCGGACGGGUGAGGAAUACAUCGGACUCUACUUUUUCGUGGGGGAUAACGUAGGGAAACUUACUCUCAUACCGCAUACGCCCUUCGGGUGAAAGCAUGGGAUCUUCGGACCUUGCGCGAUUGAAUGAGCCGAUGUCGGAUUAGCUAGUUGGCGGGGUAAAUGCCCACCAAGGCGCCGAUCCGUAGCUGGUCUGAGAGGAGGAUCGGCGACACGAGAACGGGAACACGGUCCAGACUCCUGAGGGAGGGAGCAGUGGGGAACAUGGGACAGAGGGGGCAAGCCUGAUACAGCGAGAGCGCGUGGGAGAAGAAGACGUUCGGGUUGUGAAGACCUUUUGUUGGGAGAGAAAAGCAGCAGGUUAAUACCCCGCUGUUCUGACGGUAACCAAUGAAUAAGCACCGGCUAACUUCGUG
rnacentral:rRNA from 1 species